GUGAGGAAUAUUGGUCAAUGGACGCAAGUCUGAACCAGCCAUGCCGCGUGCAGGAAGAAGGUGCUAUGCAUUGUAAACUGCUUUUAUACGGGGGUAAUUACAGAUACGUGUAUCUGGAUGAAAGUACCGUAUGAAUAAGGAUCGGCUAACUCCGUGCCAGCAGCCGCGGUAAUACGGAGGAUCCGAGCGUUAUCCGGAUUUAUUGGGUUUAAAGGGUGCGUAGGCGGUCAGGUAAGUUAGAGGUGAAAGCUCGAUGCUCAACAUCGAAACUGCCUCUGAUACUGUCUGACUAGAGUGUAGUUGCGGAAGGCGGAAUGUGUGGUGUAGCGGUGAAAUGCUUAGAUAUCACACAGAACACCGAUUGCGAAGGCAGCUUUCCAAGCUAUUACUGACGCUGAGGCACGAAAGCGUGGGGAGCGAACAGG
rnacentral:rRNA from 1 species